CCUACGGGGGGCAGCAGUGGGGAAUAUUGCGCAAUGGGGGAAACCCUGACGCAGCGACGCCGCGUGAGCGAAGAAGGCCUUAGGGUCGUAAAGCUCUGUUUUAAGGGACGAAUGUCACGGGCAGUAAUAUGGUCUGUGAAUGACGGUACCUUAAGAGGAAGCCCCGGCUAACUACGUGCCAGCAGCCGCGGUAAGACGUAGGGGGCGAGCGUUGUCCGGAAUUACUGGGCGUAAAGAGCACGUAGGCGGGAUUUUAAGUCAGGUGUGAAAGACCGUGGCUCAACCACGGGGUUGCACUUGAAACUGGGAUUCUUGAGGGCAGGAGAGGAAAGUGGAAUUCCUGGUGUAGCGGUGAAAUGCGUAGAAAUCAGGAGGAACACCGGUGGCGAAGGCGACUUUCUGGACUGACCCUGACGCUGAGGUGCGAAAGCGUGGGUAGCAAACAGGAUUAGAUACCCCGGUAGUC
rnacentral:rRNA from 1 species